ACCCUUUAAUGUUUGAUGUUCUAACGUGGACCCGUUACCCGGGUUGCGGACAGUGUCUGGUGGGUAGUUUGACUGGGGCGGUCUCCUCCUAAAGAGUAACGGAGGAGCACGAAGGUUGGCUAAUCCUGGUCGGACAUCAGGAGGUUAGUGCAAUGGCAUAAGCCAGCUUGACUGCGAGCGUGACGGCGCGAGCAGGUGCGAAAGCAGGUCAUAGUGAUCCGGUGGUUCUGAAUGGAAGGGCCAUCGCUCAACGGAUAAAAGGUACUCCGGGGAUAACAGGCUGAUACCGCCCAAGAGUUCAUAUCGACGGCGGUGUUUGGCACCUCGAUGUCGGCUCAUCACAUCCUGGGGCUGAAGUAGGUCCCAAGGGUAUGGCUGUUCGCCAUUUAAAGUGGUACGCGAGCUGGGUUUAGAACGUCGUGAGACAGUUCGGUCCCUAUCUGCCGUGGGCGCUGGAGAACUGAGGGGGGCUGCUCCUAGUACGAGAGGACCGGAGUGGACGCAUCACUGGUGUUCGGGUUGUCAUGCCAAUGGCACUGCCCGGUAGCUAAAUGCGGAAGAGAUAAGUGCUGAAAGCAUCUAAGCACGAAACUUGCCCCGAGAUGAGUUCUCCCUGAGACUUUA
rnacentral:rRNA from 1 species